CCUACGGGUGGCAGCAGUGGGGGAUAUUGCACAAUGGGGGAAACCCUGAUGCAGCGACGCCGCGUGAGUGAAGAAGUAUUUCGUUAUGUAAAGCUCUAUCAGCAGGGAAGAAAAUAACGGGUCCUUAGUUAGAAGCCCCGGCUAACUACGUGCCAGCAACCGCGGUAAUACGUAGGGGGCAAGCGUUAUCCGGAUUUACUGGGUGGAAAGGGAGCGUAGACGGCAGUGCAAGUCUGGAGUGAAAGGCCGGGGCUCAACCCCCGGACUGCUCUGGAAACUGUACGGCUGGAGUGCAGGAGAGGUAAGUGGAAUUCCUGGUGUAGCGGUGAAAUGCGUAGAUAUUAGGAGGAACACCAGUGGCGAAGGCGGCUUACUGGACUGUAACUGACGUUGAGGCUCGAAAGCGUGGGGAGCGAACAGGAUUAGAUACCCUUGUAGUC
rnacentral:rRNA from 1 species